rnacentral:miRNA from 1 species
UUAUUUGUUACCCAUAUCUCC